AGUGAACGCUGGCGGUAGGCCUAACACAUGCAAGUCGAACGGCAGCACAGUAAGAGCUUGCUCUUACGGGUGGCGAGUGGCGGACGGGUGAGGAAUAUAUCGGAAUCUACUCUUUCGUGGGGGAUAACGUAGGGAAACUUACUCUAAUACCGCAUACGACCUACGGGUGAAAGCAGGGGAUCUUCUGACCUUGCGCGGUUGAAUGAGCCGAUGUCGGAUUAGCUAGUUGGCGGGGUAAAGGCCCACCAAGGCGACGAUCCGUAGCUGGUCUGAGAGGAUGAUCAGCCACACUGGAACUGGGACACGGUCCAGACGCCUACGGGAGGCAGCAGUGGGGAAUAUUGGGCAAUGGGCGCAAGCCUGAUCCAGCCAGACCGCGUGGGUGAAGAAGGCCUUCGGGUUGUAAAGACCUUUUGUUGGGAAAGAAAAGCAGCAGGUUAAUACCCCGCUGUUCUGACGGUACCCAAAGAAUAAGCACCGGCUAACUUCGUG
rnacentral:rRNA from 1 species